GCCAGGACUGCUACCCUACGGUGUCACAGAGGACCAAGGUGCCCAGGGGUGGGAUGUGGUGGGUGGCUGCGCACCCCCAAAGAAGGAAAGGCGCAGACUCACCAGCUGCU
rnacentral:lncRNA from 1 species